UGGGGAAUAUUGCACAAUGGGCGCAAGCCUGAUGCAGCCAUGCCGCGUGUAUGAAGAAGGCCUUCGGGUUGUAAAGUACUUUCAGCGGGGAGGAAGGCGAUAAGGUUAAUAACCUUGUCGAUUGACGUUACCCGCAGAAGAAGCACCGGCUAACUCCGUGCCAGCAGCCGCGGUAAUACGGAGGGUGCAAGCGUUAAUCGGAAUUACUGGGCGUAAAGCGCACGCAGGCGGUCUGUCAAGUCGGAUGUGAAAUCCCCGGGCUCAACCUGGGAACUGCAUUCGAAACUGGCAGGCUAGAGUCUUGUAGAGGGGGGUAGAAUUCCAGGUGUAGCGGUGAAAUGCGUAGAGAUCUGGAGGAAUACCGGUGGAGAAGGCGGCCCCAUGGACAAAGACUGACGCUCAGGUGCGAAAGCGUGGGGAGCAAACA
rnacentral:rRNA from 1 species